UGGUUGUUUGAACCGCAUGGUUCAAAUGUAAAAGGUGGCUUCGGCUACCACUUACAGAUGGACCCGCGGCGCAUUAGCUAGUUGGUGAGGUAUCGGCUCACCAAGGCAACGAUGCGGAGCCGACCUGAGAGGGUGAUCGGCCACACUGGGACUGAGACACGGCCCAGACUCCUACGGGAGGCAGCAGUAGGGAAUCUUCCGCAAUGAACGAAAGUCUGACGGAGCAACGCCGCGUGAGUGAUGAAGGUUUUCGGAUCGUAAAGCUCUGUUGUUAGGGAAGAACAAGUACCGUUCGAAUAGGGCGGUACCUUGACGGUACCUAACCAGAAAGCCACGGCUAACUACGUGCCAGCAGCCGCGGUAAUACGUAGGUGGCAAGCGUUGUCCGGAAUUAUUGCGCGUAAAGGGCUCGCAGGCGGUUUCUUAAGUCUGAUGUGAAAGCCCCCCGGCUCAACCGGGGAGGGUCAUUGUAAACUGGGGAACUUGAGUGCAGAAGAGGAGAGUGCAAUUCCACGUGUAGCGGUGAAAUGCGUAAGAUGUGGAGGAACACCAGUGGCGAAGGCGACUCUCUGGUCUGUAACUGACGCUGAGGAGCGAAAGCGUGGGGAGCGAACAGGAUUAGAUACCCUGGUAGUCCACGCCGUAAACGAUGAGUGCUAAGUGUUAGGGGGGUUUCCGCCCCUUAGUGCUGCAGCUAACGCAUUAAGCACUCCGCCUGGGGGGAGUACGGUCGCAAGACUGAAACUCAAAGGAAUUGACGGGGGCCCGCACAAGCGGUGGAGCAUGUGGUUUAAUUCGAAGCAACGCGAAGAACCUUACCAGGUCUUGACAUCCUCUGACAAUCCUAGAGAUAGGACGUUCCCUUCGGGGGCAGAGUGACAGGUGGUGCAUGGUUGUCGUCAGCUCGUGUCGUGAGAUGUUGGGUUAAGUCCCGCAACGAGCGCAACCCUUGAUCUUAGUUGCCAGCAUUCAGUUGGGCACUCUAAGGUGACUGCCGGUGACAAACCGGAGGAAGGUGGGGAUGACGUCAAAUCAUCAUGCCCCUUAUGACCUGGGCUACACACGUGCUACAAUGGACAGAACAAAGGGCAGCGAAACCGCGAGGUUAAGCCAAUCCCACAAAUCUGUUCUCAGUUCGGAUCGCAGUCUGCAACUCGACUGCGU
rnacentral:rRNA from 1 species